GACGAACGCUGGCGGCGUGCCUAAUACAUGCAAGUCGAGCGCAGGAAAUCGACGGAACCCUUCGGGGGGAAGUCGACGGAAUGAGCGGCGGACGGGUGAGUAACACGUAAAGAACCUGCCCUCAGGUCUGGGAUAACCACGAGAAAUCGGGGCUAAUACCGGAUGGGUCAUCGGACCGCAUGGUCCGAGGAUGAAAGGCGCUUCGGCGUCGCCUGGGGAUGGCUUUGCGGUGCAUUAGCUAGUUGGUGGGGUAAUGGCCCACCAAGGCGACGAUGCAUAGCCGACCUGGGAGGGUGAUCGGCCACACGGGGACGGAGACACGGCCCAGACUCCUAAGGGAGGCAGCAGUAGGGAAUCUUCCACAAUGGACGAAAGGCUGAUGGAGCAACGCCGCGUGAACGAUGAAGGCCUUCGGGUCGUAAAGUUCUGUUGUAAGGGAAGAACAAGUGCCGCAGGCAAUGGCGGCACCUUGACGGUACCUUGCGAGAAAGCCACGGCUAACUACGUGCCAGCAGCCGCAGUAA
rnacentral:rRNA from 1 species